GACGAACGCUGGCGGCGUGCUUAACACAUGCAAGUCGAACGGAGAGGCCCUUCGGGGUCCUCGAGUGGCGAACGGGUGAGUAACACGUGGGUGAUCUGCCCUGCACUUUGGGAUAAGCCUGGGAAACUGGGUCUAAUACCGAAUAGGACCACGCGCUUCAUGGUGUGUGGUGGCAAGCUUUUGCGGUGUGGGAUGGGCCCGCGGCCUAUCAGCUUGUUGGUGGGGUAAUGGCCUACCAAGGCGACGACGGGUAGCCGGCCUGAGAGGGUGACCGGCCACACUGGGACUGAGAUACGGCCCAGACUCCUACGGGAGGCAGCAGUGGGGAAUAUUGCACAAUGGGCGCAAGCCUGAUGCAGCGACGCCGCGUGAGGGAUGACGGCCUUCGGGUUGUAAACCUCUUUCACCAGGGACGAAGCGUAAGUGACGGUACCUGGAGAAGAAGCACCGGCCAACUACGUG
rnacentral:rRNA from 1 species